AUCAUUAUUAGCAGUUUGCAUGUUACAGUUUGCAGUUUGCAUAUUUACUGUUUGCAUAUUUGCAUUUUGUAAGCUUGUUUUUUGCAAGCUUGUAUUGCUUGCUUUUUGCUGGUUUGCAUUUUGCAGGCUUGCUUUUUGCAAGCUUGUUUUGCUUGCUACAUUUUGCAGACUUAUAUUUUGCAGGGUUGCUUUAUUUUCUUGUUGUUGUCUUGCUUUUCCCUCUACAAAGCUUGCAGAAGUUGCAAGAUUUCUACUUCAGGAUUUGUAUCUAGCUGAGAGUAUUCCCAGGCCUGGUCAAUUACAUCAUUAUUAGCAGUUUGGAGUUUGCAGUUUUCAGUUUGCAUGCUUGCUUUUUGCAGGUUUGCAUUUUGCAAGUCUGCAUUUUGCAGGUUUGCUUUACUUUCUUUUUGCAUGCUUGCUUUUUCCUCUACAAAUCCUGCAGAAAUUGUAAGAUUUAUUAUACAAUCUCUGGAAUCUUUAACAGAUAAUGGGGAGGUGUCGACUCUGAUGUCCACGGCCAGAAUUUUCUCCACUUCUCAUGCGAUACAUCAUCUGCAUGAGCAACAGCCUUCACACUUAAAUCACCCGAGUCCAAGCCUGACAUGUG